rnacentral:lncRNA from 1 species
CUUUUAAGGGCAUACAAUACAGUUACAGGUGAGGGUAAUGACGUUGCUAACGUAAAAUGUUAUUUUCGCGACGUCAAACUAUGACAUAUCGGGAAAAGAUGCAUUUUUCGACUCAUUUUUAUCAUUCAAACUGAUUUAAUUUGAAAACGAGUGCAUGGAUCCCUAUUUUUUAAAACGGCAAUUUGUUUCAUUUUGCAAGGAGAUU